rnacentral:rRNA from 1 species
GAUGAACGCUGGCGGCGUGCCUAAUACAUGCAAGUCGAGCGAACAGACGAGGAGCUUGCUCCUCUGACGUUAGCGGCGGACGGGUGAGUAACACGUGGAUAACCUACCUAUAAGACUGGGAUAACUUCGGGAAACCGGAGCUAAUACCGGAUAAUAUAUUGAACCGCAUGGUUCAAUAGUGAAAGACGGUUUUGCUGUCACUUAUAGAUGGAUCCGCGCCGCUUUAGCUAGUUGGUAAGGUAACGGCUUACCAAGGCGACGAUGCGUAGCCGACCUGAGAGGGUGAUCGGCCACACUGGAACUGAGACACGGUCCAGACGCCUACGGGAGGCAGCAGUAGGGAAUCUUCCGCAAUGGGCGAAAGCCUGGCGGAGCAACGCCGCGUGAGUGAUGAAGGUCUUCGGAUCGUAAAACUCUGUUAUUAGGGAAGAACAAAUGUGUAAGUAACUAUGCACGUCUUGACGGUACCUAAUCAGAAAGCCACGGCUAACUACGUG